GAAUUUUAUAUAAAUUUGUUAUGUGUGUAUUAUGGAUGAAAUGUUUAAUAAGUUUAUAUUUUAUUGGGAGGAUAAAUAAAUUAAAAAAACUUUAAUAAAAAAAUCCAUUAAUUAAUGAGUUUUGAUUGAAAUGAGUGGUUAUAUAAAUUUUUAAAGAAUUAAUUACCUUAGGGAUAACAGCGUAAUAUUUUUAGAGAGAUCUUAUUAAUAAAAAUGAUUGC
rnacentral:rRNA from 1 species